rnacentral:rRNA from 1 species
CGUUCAGGGGUAAACCUGAGGAACCCGAAAGAUCGAAUGGGGAGAUUCAACGUCAGCGAAGCUGGCCUCACGAUGGCGAGUGAUGCACGAUCGGGUGCUUCGGUGACCGAUAUGGAGCACGCAGCUGUUGUGAAAGUCUGGUGGCGUCGGCGUGCACUUCUCCCCUAGUAGGACGUCGCGACCCGUUGGGUGCCGGUCUAAGGCCCGGGUGGUAGCCUGCUUCGUCGCUUCGGCGCAUCGAGGCAGACCCCUGGUCGCCAGUCGCCGGCUGCCCGGCGGUAUUCUUGAUGGUAUCGGGUCGCAUAUUCGAACUGCGUCGGGCCCGUCGCAAGCGCGAUCAGUGUUUCACGGAGGUCGGACCUGGUGCCGUCCCCGUGCCUGGUCAGCUGUUGGUCGACGGUGUUCUCCGACUGGCCAAUUUAACAUUUACGAUACCGGUCGGCGAUGCUACUGCUUUGGGUAAUCUCAGGACCCGUCUUGAAACACGGACCAAGGAGUCUAACAUGUGCGCGAGUCAUUGGGACCGCAUGCCUAAAGGCGAAAUGAAAGUGAAGGUCGGCCUUAGCGCCGACCGAGGGAGGAUGGGCCGCGUCGAGAUGCGGCUUCGCACUCCCGGGGCGUCUCGUUCUCAUUGCGAGAAGAGGCGCACCCAGAGCGUACACGUUGGGACCCGAAAGAUGGUGAACUAUGCCUGGUCAGGACGAAGUCAGGGGAAACCCUGAUGGAGGUCCGUAGCGAUUCUGACGUGCAAAUCGAUCGUCGGAACUGGGUAUAGGGGCGAAAGACU